AACGAACGCUGGCGGCAUGCCUAACACAUGCAAGUCGAACGAGACCUUCGGGUCGAGUGGCGCACGGGUGCGUAACGCGUGGGAACCUGCCCUUAGGUUCGGAAUAACUCCCCGAAAGGGGUGCUAAUACCGGAUAAUGUCUUCGGACCAAAGAUUUAUCGCCUUUGGAUGGGCCCGCGUUGGAUUAGCUAGUUGGUAGGGUAAAAGCCUACCAAGGCGACGAUCCAUAGCUGGUCUGAGAGGAUGAUCAGCCACACUGGGACUGAGACACGGCCCAGACUCCUACGGGAGGCAGCAGUGGGGAAUAUUGGACAAUGGGCGAAAGCCUGAUCCAGCAAUGCCGCGUGAGUGAUGAAGGCCUUAGGGUUGUAAAGCUCUUUUAGCCGGGAUGAUAAUGACAGUACCGGGAGAAUAAGCUCCGGCUAACUCCGUG
rnacentral:rRNA from 1 species